GGAGCCUGUGACGAUAUUUCGAAAUUUGCCUACAUUGUCUGACGUUACAAUGAUAAAACUAUAUUUGUAUCUGAGGCUUUC
rfam:Beta vulgaris subsp. vulgaris Bvchr2.sca013.con0142.1, whole genome shotgun sequence.